GAUGAACGCUGGCGGCGUGCCUAAUACAUGCAAGUCGAACGGUAAGGCCUCUUCGGAGGUACACGAGUGGCGGACGGCUGAGUAACGCGUAGGAAUGUACCCCAAAGUGAGGAAUAACCUCGAGAAAUCGAGGCUAAUACCGCAUGUGCUCUAAGGAGUAAAGCUUUAUGCGCUUUGGGAACAGCCUGCGUAAGAUUAGCUUGUUGGUGAGGUAAUGGCUCACCAAGGCGACGAUCUUUAGCUGGUCUGAGAGGAUGAUCAGCCAGACUGGGACUGAGACACGGCCCAGACUCCUACGGGAGGCAGCAGUAGGGAAUUUUCCACAAUGGACGAAAGUCUGAUGGAGCAACGCCGCGUGCAGGAUGAAUGCCCUUGGGUUGUAAACUGCUUUUAUGUGUGAAGAUAAUGACGGUAGCAUAUGAAUAAGGAUCGGCUAACUCCGUGCCAGCCGCCGCUGUAA
rnacentral:rRNA from 1 species